CAUUAUAUCUUUCUUUCCAAGAGUACUACCUGUACGUAGUCUAUGUCUGGGGAGCAUACUUGACAGGAAAUAGACACAAGCGGUAGAGAGGUCCCCCACUUCGAUUCCCGCCCCGUUCGCAUCUCCGAUCCAA
rnacentral:miRNA from 1 species